GAUGAAGAACGCAGCGAAAUGCGAUAAGUAAUGUGAAUUGCAGAAUUCAGUGAAUCAUCGAAUCUUUGAACGCACAUUGCGCCCCUUGGUAUUCCGAGGGGCACGUCUGUUCGAGCGUCAUUAUAACCCCUCAAGCUCAGCUUGGUGUUGGGGCCUGCUGCACUGGCAGCCCUUAAAAUCAGUGGCGGCGCCAUCUGGCUCUAAGCGUAGUAAUUCUUCUCGCUAUGGAGUCCUGGUGGAUGCUUGCCAUCAACCCCCAAUUUUUCUAUGGUUGACCUCGGAUCAGGUAGGGAUACCCGCUGAACUUAAGCAUAUCAAUAAGCGGAGGA
rnacentral:misc_RNA from 1 species